UGUGGAUAUGCGUUUGUAUUGAACAUUUUGUGGUAUUGUACAUGUUGUGGAUAUGUGGUGGUAUUGAACAUGUUGUGGAUAUGUGGUGGUAUUGAACAUGUUGUGGAUAUGUGGUGGUAUUGAACAUGUUGUGGAUAUGUGGAGGUAUUGAACAUGUUGUGUUGUGGAUAUGUGGUGGUAUUGAUUAUGUUAUGGAUAUGUUGUGGUAUUGAACAUGUUGUGUUGUGGAUAUGUGGAGGUAUUGAACAUGUUGUGGAUAUGUGGUGGUAUUGAACAUGUUGUGGAUAUGUGGUGGUAUUGAACAUGUUGUGUUGUGGAUAUGUGGUGGUAUUGAUUAUGUUAUGGAUAUGUUGUGGUAUUGAACAUGUUGUGGAUAUGUUGUGGUAUUGAACAUGUUGUGCUGUGGAUAUGUGGUGGUAUUGAUUAUGUUGUGGAUAUGUGGUGGCAUUGAACAUGUAGUGGAUAUGUGGUGGUAUUGAACAUGUUGUGGUUAUGUGGUGGUAUUGAACAUGUUGUGGAUAUGUGGUGGUAUUGAACAUGUUGUGGAUAUGUGGUGGUAUUGAACAUGUUGUGUUGUGGAUAUGUGCUGGUAUUGAACAUGUUGUGGAUAUGUUGUGGUAUUAAACAUGUUGUGUUGUGGAUAUGCGUUUGUAUUGAACAUUUUGUGGCAUUGAACAUGUUGUGGAUAUGUGGUGUUAUUGAACAUGUUGUGCUGUGGAUAUGUGGUGGUAUUGAUUAUGUUGUGGAUAUGUGGUGGUAUUGAACAUGUGGUGGAUAUGUGGUGGUAUUGAACAUGUUGUGGUAUGUGGUGGCAUUGAACAUGUAGUGGAUAUGUGGUGGUAUUGACCAUGUUGUGGAUAUGUGGUGGUAUUGAACAUGUUGUGGAUAUGUUGUGGUAUUAAACAUGUUGUGUUGUGGAUAUGUGGUGGUAUUGAUUAUGUUAUGGAUAUGUUGUGGUAUUGAUUAUGUUGUGGAUAUGUGGUGGCAUUGAACAUGUAGUGGAUAUGUGGUGGUAUUGAACAUGUUGUGGAUAUGUGGUGGUAUUGAACAUGUUGUGGAUAUGUGGUGGUAUUGAACAUGUUGUGGAUAUGUGGAGGUAUUGAACAUGUUGUGGUUAUGUGGAGGUAUUGAACAUGUUGUGGAUAUGUGGUGGUAUUGAACAUGUUGUGGAUAUGUUGUGGUAUUAAACAUGUUGUGUUGUGGAUAUGUGGUGGCAUUGAACAUGUAGUGGAUAUGUG
ensembl:lncRNA